rnacentral:lncRNA from 1 species
UGUAGUUAACUGGCUGGUCUUUUGCCAAGUGUACUCUUUUAACCCAUUUACUAGAAAGAUGGCUUUAAACAAAAGAAAUCUUUUUCACUUGGCUUAAAAAUAUUCCAUUCAUAAUAUUGAGGGGAAAAAAAACAACAUGGAAGAUACCUUGAGAGUUCGCAAACUAGGUCAGUUCUAGUCCUUUGUCAAAGGAUGGCUUAAACAUUGACUUUCUUCUUUCAUUUAUGUGAUUAUCUUCUUUAUUAGGGAUUGGACUCUCCUAAAACUAAUACCUAGUAUUUUCAAUUAUGGGAAAUACAUCCUGUUUUAACAGUAGCCUGAUGCCAUGACUGAAUAAGCAGCAAUAAAUUCUUUAUCAAAAUAGUCAGUAGUUCCCAAAACCACAAAUAACAACAGAAGCAAAGUCGUACUAAAUCAGCAAAGAGCAUUUGGAUAAUAAGGGACUGAGUCACUUUUUUUAAAAAACAUCUCUAUUGCUAACUCUACUAUUUCCUUGCAGACAUGGGGGGGGGGGGCAGGUGGGGGUAGGGAAGGCAUUGCUCAGAAUCUUAAAAAUGACAUCACUUAAGUCACAUGAUUGGCAAGCACCAAUUAAGAUGGGCUGUGGAAAGAGGAACAGUUAAAUUUGUAAUUUUGGUUGUGUGAAACACUUCUUUGGGGCCUCAUAAACAACCACAGAACCACAAGUUGGGUACGGUGGCAGUCACACAAGACUGGGUCCGGGAUAUUGGUCAGCAGGCAGGGCAAAUCACACUGUCUGCAAACCACAGAGUUUCGUAGAGCGGUAAGCAUCAUCAAGCCACAACCAAGUCACUUCGAGGCUCUUUAAAAAAAAAAGAAAGAAAGAAAACUUUUUGAUCUUCAGCAAUUUGAAUAUUUCUUUUCAAAGAGGUAAGAGAAGUCAUCUCGUCCCCCAACUUGAAGAAGCCUACAUUGGAAGGAGGAAACGAUGGCUUCGGACAGCAUGUUUGAGUCAUUUCCUUCAUACCCACAGUGCUUCAUGAGAGGUAAGUGCUCUUGAGACUUGUAAAAUGUACUUCUGCUCAGUUUUGCAUAGAAAAAGGAGUGGCAGCUCAGCCUGUGGCACAGCAGUGCCUGAAACUCUUGGCUUUUCAGUAUGAGGGAUUCUGGCUGAGGCAUAUGAUUACAAGGUGAUUGGGUUACUUAUUCAUCAUAUGGCAGCUCUUCAGAAGUCCUCCGGAAUAAUGAGUUAAGCUGCCGAGGCACUCAGUUGGUAUUUAGGGAACUUUUUCAAGUACACGUUGCUUAAGCUUCUGUUUUUCAAGUGUUGAAGACUAUAAAGUUAGCCCAGAGCUCUUUGGGGUUUACACGGAUGUCUCAGGCGUUGGAUGGUCCAGUCUUGGUUAUCCUAAAACGCAGCGUGCCGUCUGGAACUCAGACGUAGAGGUUCUUGG